rnacentral:lncRNA from 1 species
UCCGGCCACUCUCCUGCCUGGGCUGCUGCUCAACGGGGGCUGGGGGUGUGUGGGGCGGGGGUGGUCUGUCCAGUGAUUCAGCCACAUGUGAUAGAUGACCAAGUGACUGCUUUCUUGGAGUCCGCACACCAGUGGAAGACUCUCAAAGUGGUUGUGACCGACUUGAUCAAACUCUAGGCUUCCUGAACUGGUAACUGUCACUUUAAUAUAGGUUACUGAUUAAACUCAGAAAAAUGCAGCUUAAAAUCUUUGCCAGGAACUUGUGUGGACUUACUCCCUGUUCCCCCCCACCCCCCUUGUUCUGAUUUGUUUUGUCACAGGAAUGAAAUGCAGAUAACUCUUUAGAAAACUUUUGUAGGAAAAGCGCCUCGUGUGAUCUGGAACAAAGACGUUUUAUAAUCAGAUUUAUCAAGCUGCGAAGAGGGAGUUUUAGUGAACGGAAGCAGCAGCAUUCUGUCACCAGGAAAUACUCCUUUAUCCAGAAUUGGAGGUAUAAACCAGUGGAGUUUAUCAUUGAAUAGAGUGCAGAGAAAGGACCGCAAGAAAGCUGAUCACCUCAGCAAUGAAUGAUUUCGAUACGAUUUCACCCAAAUGGUCUCACACACCAGCCUAGUAAACCAGAGAUAAGGUGUAAUGUCAUCCUUCCUUCCUUCUCCCUGCCUCAACUGUCAAAGAUUGACAACUUACAUGUUGUUUACUUUUUGGCUUCUAUUUCUGUUCAUAAUUAUUAUCAGAAGGCAUAGCACCCACAAGCCUAAUCAUACUGCCUUACAACCUUAUUCCUCUUCAUUUUGUCUUCUCACUUACCUGCAGAAACCCAGUUUAUUUUUGUUCUCCCUUUACCACACCAGCCUUGUAACUGUUAUGAAUGACCCUCAAUCUCACUGGAAUCUGAAUCACUCAGGAAUUCAAGCAAACUGGAUGUUUUAAGCACUGUUCAGCUUUCUUAUGGAAUGACAGAGAACUCGUAAAGAUAAAACACCAGUUUGCAGGAAGAAAGGAAGAGAAUGGAAAUUGCUUCUGGAAAAUACUAGUUUUACAAUAUGUUUUGUUUGUCUGCUCUCUUAAAUAAACUUAAUCCUAUAAACAUUUUUUAAGAACUAGCCAUUAAGACUGUUAAGUUCUCAAUUAUAAAGGAAUAAAAUGUUUUAAGGAGGAUUUAUUUGCCCUUGCUUAUAUGAACUGCAUAUUUUUAGUAGGAAAUCAUGUAAUUUAAAUUAGUAUUGAUUAACAGAUUUAAUGUAGAAAAUGGACAUAUAAAGAAUACAAGGAUAAAUGUCUACAUGUAAUAAUGGAUGGUAGUGAUAUAAUGCAUUUUUGUCAUCCCAUGCUGAAUUCAGUAAAAAUAAAGCUAAUGACUUGGAGCUUUUAAAAGAU